rnacentral:rRNA from 1 species
CAGCAGCCGCGGUAAUACGUAGGGUGCGAGCGUUGUCCGGAUUUAUUGGGCGUAAAGGGCUCGUAGGCGGUUUAACAAGUCGGUCGUGAAAACCCGGGGCUCAACCCCGGGACGCCGGUCGAAACUGUUAUGACUAGGGUCCGGUAGGGGUGAGUGGAAUUCUCGGUGUAGCGGUGGAAUGCGCAGAUAUCGAGAGGAACACCAGUAGCGAAGGCGGCUCACUGGGCCGGUACCGACGCUGAGGAGCGAAAGCAUGGGGAGCAAACAGGAUUAGAUACCCUGGUAGUCCAUGCCGUAAACGAUGAACACUAGGUGUGGCGGAUUCAUUGACAUCUGCCGUGCCGUAGCUAACGCGUUAAGUGUUCCGCCUGGGGAGUACGGCCGCAAGGCUAAAACUCAAAGGAAUUGACGGGGCCCCGCACAAGCGGCGGAGCAUGCGGCUUAAUUCGAUGCAACCCGAAGAACCUUACCUGGACUUGACAUCAUGGGUCUACCUGUAGAAAUAUAGGGUGCUUAUGCGCCCAUGACAGGUGGUGCAUGGCUGUCGUCAGCUCGUGUCGUGAGAUGUUGGGUUAAGUUCCGCAACGAGCGCAACCCCUGUCCUAUGUUGCCCGCACGUAAUGGUGGGGACUCAUGGGAGACUGCCCGGGAUAACUCGGAAGAAGGCGGGGAUGACGUCAAGUCAUCAUGCCCCUUAUGUCCAGGGCUGCACGCAUGCUACAAUGGGUGGUACAACGGGCUGCGAACCUGCAAAGGUCAGCGAAUCCCUGAAAGCCAUCCCUAGUUCGGAUUGGAGUCUGCAACUCGACUCCAUGAAGCCGGAGUCGCUAGUAAUCGUGGAUCAGCAAAGCCGCGGUGAAUACGUUCUCGGGGCUUGUACACACCGCCCGUCACAUCACGGAAGUCGGUAACGCCCGAAGUCAGUGGCCCAACCCUUUUUGGGAGGGAGCUGCCGAAGGUGGGAUCGGUAGGUGGGGUGAAGUCGUAACAAGGUAGCCGUA